rnacentral:rRNA from 1 species
ACUAAGCGUACACGGUGGAUGCCCUGGCAGUCAGAGGCGAUGAAGGACGUGCUAAUCUGCGAUAAGCGCCGGUAAGGUGAUAUGAACCGUUAUAACCGGCGAUUUCCGAAUGGGGAAACCCAGUGUGAUUCGUCACACUAUCAUUAACUGAAUCCAUAGGUUAAUGAGGCGAACCGGGGGAACUGAAACAUCUAAGUACCCCGAGGAAAAGAAAUCAACCGAGAUUCCCCCAGUAGCGGCGAGCGAACGGGGAGGAGCCCAGAGCCUGAAUCAGCAUGUGUGUUAGUGGAAGCGUCUGGAAAGGCGCGCGAUACAGGGUGACAGCCCCGUACACAAAAGCGCAUGUGUUGUGAGCUCGAUGAGUAGGGCGGGACACGUGGUAUCCUGUCUGAAUAUGGGGGGACCAUCCUCCAAGGCUAAAUACUCCUGACUGACCGAUAGUGAACCAGUACCGUGAGGGAAAGGCGAAAAGAACCCCGGCGAGGGGAGUGAAAAAGAACCUGAAACCGUGUACGUACAAGCAGUGGGAGCUGAGGGAAAGGCGAAAAGAACCCCGGCGAGGGGAGUGAAAAAGAACCUGAAACCGUGUACGUACAAGCAGUGGGAGCCCCACCACUAAGCCAGUGGUGAACUCCACAUACGCAUCCUUUGCUGAGGAUACGGUUAACGGAGCGCAAGCGACGUUCAACCGCAAAAGAAGCAGAGGGGGCUUAGUGGUGGGGUGACUGCGUACCUUUUGUAUAAUGGGUCAGCGACUUAUAUUCUGUAGCAAGGUUAACCGUAUAGGGGAGCCGGAGGGAAACCGAGUCUUAAUUGGGCGUUAAGUUGCAGGGUAUAGACCCGAAACCCGGUGAUCUAGCCAUGGGCAGGUUNAGGGAAACCGAGUCUUAACCGGGCGUUAAGUUGCAGGGUAUAGACCCGAAACCCGGUGAUCUAGCCAUGGGCAGGUUGAAGGUUGGGUAACACUAACUGGAGGACCGAACCGACUAAUGUUGAAAAAUUAGCGGAUGACCUGUGGCUGGGGGUGAAAGGCCAAUCAAACCGGGAGAUAGCUGGUUCUCCCCGAAAGCUAUUUAGGUAGCGCCUCGUGAAUUCAUCUCCGGGGGUAGAGCACUGUUUCGGCUAGGGGGCCAUCCCGGCUUACCAACCCGAUGCAAACUGCGAAUACCGGAGAAUGUUAUCACGGGAGACACACGGCGGGUGCUAACGUCCGUCGUGAAGAGGGAAACAACCCAGACCGCCAGCUAAGGUCCCAAAGUCAUGGUUAAGUGGGAAACGAUGUGGGAAGGCCCAGACAGCCAGGAUGUUGGCUUAGAAGCAGCCAUCAUUUAAAGAAAGCGUAAUAGCUCACUGGUCGAGUCGGCCUGCGCGGAAGAUGUAACGGGGCUAAACCAUGCACCGAAGCUGCGGCAGCGAACGUAUCACUUAAAGCGAUUCAGCGGGUUACGAUUGACGGAGCGAAGCGACGUCAAAGCGUAUACAAAGUCGAGUCGGUUUAAGGAUACGUUCGUUGGGUAGGGGAGCGUUCUGUAAGCCUGUGAAGGUGGCCUGUGAGGGUUGCUGGAGGUAUCAGAAGUGCGAAUGCUGUUGGGUAGGGGAGCGUUCUGUAAGCCUGUGAAGGUGGCCUGUGAGGGUUGCUGGAGGUAUCAGAAGUGCGAAUGCUGACAUAAGUAACGAUAAAGCGGGUGAAAAGCCCGCUCGCCGGAAGACCAAGGGUUCCUGUCCAACGUUAAUCGGGGCAGGGUGAGUCGACCCCUAAGGCGAGGCCGAAAGGCGUAGUCGAUGGGAAACGGGUUAAUAUUCCCGUACUUGGUGUUACUGCGAAGGGGGGACGGAGAAGGCUAUGUUGGCCGGGCGACGGUUGUCCCGGUUUAAGCGUGUAGGUGUGUGUUCCAGGUAAAUCCGGUUCACUUUAACACUGAGGCGUGAUGACGAGGCACUACGGUGCUGAAGCAACAAAUGCCCUGCUUCCAGGAAAAGCCUCUAAGCAUCAGGUAACAUCAAAUCGUACCCCAAACCGACACAGGUGGUCAGGUAGAGAAUACCAAGGCGCUUGAGAGAACUCGGGUGAAGGAACUAGGCAAAAUGGUGCCGUAACUUCGGGAGAAGGCACGCUGACAUGUAGGUGAAGUGAUUUACUCAUGGAGCUGAAGUCAGUCGAAGAUACCAGCUGGCUGCAACUGUUUAUUAAAAACACAGCACUGUGCAAACACGAAAGUGGACGUAUACGGUGUGACGCCUGCCCGGUGCCGGAAGGUUAAUUGAUGGGGUCAGCGCAAGCGAAGCUCCUGAUCGAAGCCCCGGUAAACGGCGGCCGUAACUAUAACGGUCCUAAGGUAGCGAAAUUCCUUGUCGGGUAAGUUCCGACCUGCACGAAUGGCGUAAUGAUGGCCAGGCUGUCUCCACCCGAGACUCAGUGAAAUUGAACUCGCUGUGAAGAUGCAGUGUACCCGCGGCAAGACGGAAAGACCCCGUGAACCUUUACUAUAGCUUGACACUGAACAUUGAGCCUUGAUGUGUAGGAUAGGUGGGAGGCUUUGAAGCGUGGACGCCAGUCUGCGUGGAGCCGGCCUUGAAAUACCACCCUUUAAUGUUUGAUGUUCUAACGUGGACCCGUGAUCCGGGUUGCGGACAGUGUCUGGUGGGUAGUUUGACUGGGGCGGUCUCCUCCUAAAGAGUAACGGAGGAGCACGAAGGUUGGCUAAUCCUGGUCGGACAUCAGGAGGUUAGUGCAAUGGCAUAAGCCAGCUUGACUGCGAGCGUGACGGCGCGAGCAGGUGCGAAAGCAGGUCAUAGUGAUCCGGUGGUUCUGAAUGGAAGGGCCAUCGCUCAACGGAUAAAAGGUACUCCGGGGAUAACAGGCUGAUACCGCCCAAGAGUUCAUAUCGACGGCGGUGUUUGGCACCUCGAUGUCGGCUCAUCACAUCCUGGGGCUGAAGUAGGUCCCAAGGGUAUGGCUGUUCGCCAUUUAAAGUGGUACGCGAGCUGGGUUUAGAACGUCGUGAGACAGUUCGGUCCCUAUCUGCCGUGGGCGCUGGAGAACUGAGGGGGGCUGCUCCUAGUACGAGAGGACCGGAGUGGACGCAUCACUGGUGUUCGGGUUGUCAUGCCAAUGGCACUGCCCGGUAGCUAAAUGCGGAAGAGAUAAGUGCUGAAAGCAUCUAAGCACGAAACUUGCCCCGAGAUGAGUUCUCCCUGAGACUUAAAGUCUCCUGAAGGAACGUUGAAGACGACGACGUUGAUAGGCCGGGUGUGUAAGCGCAGCGAUGCGUUGAGCUAACCGGUACUAAUGAACCGUGAGGCUUAACC